AGGGAAAUAUAAAAAAAUCAUACAGAUGCAUAGAAAACAAAAGAUGGAGUUCUUGCUCUCCUCUACAAAGUUUGAAGAGAAAAAGCAGAAGAAGAAGAACAAAAAAGAGGAACAGGAGAUAAUAUGCUACGUUUUCGUAUCAACAGUUCUGUAGCUUGUAAAACAUGUGAAUCAAUUCCAGUCUUUUUUAAUCAAUUCCAAAUCAAUUCCAAAUCCCGAAAAAAUAUUCUUAAAUUGAUACAAAUUAUGCAUGCAGAGAAUAUUAAAUGGUAUUUUCAGCCAGGCUAA